rnacentral:rRNA from 1 species
UACGUAGGCAGCGAGCGUUGUUCGGAGUUACUGGGCGUAAAGGGUGUGUAGGCGGUUGUUUAAGUUUGGUGUGAAAUCUCCCGGCUCAACUGGGAGGGUGCGCCGAAUACUGAGCGACUAGAGUGCGGGAGAGGAAAGUGGAAUUCCUGGUGUAGCGGUGAAAUGCGUAGAUAUCGUUUGGAACGCCAAUGGUGAAAACAGGUUGCUGGGAGUGCGCUGACGCUGAGACACGAAAGCCAGGGGAGCGAACGGG